UACGUAGGGGGCAAGCGUUAUCCGGAAUUACUGGGUGUAAAGGGAGCGUAGACGGUUAAGUAAGUCUGGAGUGAAAGGCCGGGGCCCAACCCCGGGACUGCUCUGGAAACUAUUGAACUUGAGUGCUGGAGAGGCAAUCGGAAUUCCGUGUGUAGCGGUGAAAUGCGUAGAUAUACGGAGGAACACCAGUGGCGAAGGCGGAUUGCUGGACAGUAACUGACGCUGAGGCGCGAAAGCGUGGGGAGCAAACAGG
rnacentral:rRNA from 1 species